rnacentral:rRNA from 1 species
GAGCCAUCGUGAGAUACCCUCUUUUAAAACUCGGAUUCUCACUCUCUACCUUGUCCGGGGAGAGGACACUCCCAGGUGGGCAGUUUGACUGGGGCGGUCGCCUCCUAAAAGGUAACGGAAGCGCACCAAGGUUUCCUCAGAUCGGAUAGAAAAUCAUCGAAGAGUGUAAAGGCAAAAGGAAGCUUGACUGCGAAACGUACAAGUCAAGCACAGACGAAAGUCGGUCUUAUUGAUCCCACAAUCCUGAGUGGAAAGGGCCUCUCUCUCCGGAUAAAAGUUUCUCUCGGGGUAACAGGCUGAAAA